AGUCGAGCGCAGGAAGCUCACGGAACUUCUUUCGAAGGAAGUGAAGGGAAUGAGCGGCGGACGGGUGAGUAACACGUAAGGAACCUGCCCCAAGGAUUGGGAUAACUCCGAGAAAUCGGAGCUAAUACCGAAUAGUUCUUCAGACCGCAUGGUCUGAUGAUGAAAGGCGCUCCGGCGUCACCUUGGGAUGGCCUUGCGGUGCAUUAGCUAGUUGGUGGGGUAAUGGCCCACCAAGGCGACGAUGCAUAGCCGACCUGAGAGGGUGAUCGGCCACACUGGGACUGAGACACGGCCCAGACUCCUACGGGAGGCAGCAGUAGGGAAUCUUCCACAAUGGACGAAAGUCUGAUGGAGCAACGCCGCGUGAGUGAUGAAGGUUUUCGGAUCGUAAAACUCUGUUGUAAGGGAAGAACAAGUACGAGAGGUAAUGCUCGUACCUUGACGGUACCUUGCGAGAAAGCCACGGCUAACUACGUGCCAGCAGCCGCGGUAAUACGUAGGUGGCAAGCGUUGUCCGGAAUUAUUGGGCGUAAAGCGCGCGCAGGCGGCCUUUUAAGUCUGAUGUGAAAGCCCCCGGCUCAACCGGGGAGGGUCAUUGGAAACUGGAAGGCUUGAGUACAGAAGAGAAGAGUGGAAUUCCAUGUGUAGCGGUGAAAUGCGUAGAGAUGUGGAGGAACACCAGUGGCGAAGGCGACUCUUUGGUCUGUAACUGACGCUGAGGCGCGAAAGCGUGGGGAGCAAACAGGAUUAGAUACCCUGGUAGUCCACGCCGUAAACGAUGAGUGCUAGGUGUUGGGGGGUUUCCGCCCCUCAGUGCUGAAGCUAACGCAUUAAGCACUCCGCCUGGGGAGUACGGCCGCAAGGCUGAAACUCAAAGGAAUUGACGG
rnacentral:rRNA from 1 species